GACGAACGCUGGCGGCGUGCUUAACACAUGCAAGUCGAACGGAAAGGCCCUGCUUUUGUGGGGUGCUCGAGUGGCGAACGGGUGAGUAACACGUGAGUAACCUGCCCUUGACUUUGGGAUAACUUCAGGAAACUGGGGCUAAUACCGGAUAGGAGCUCCUGCUGCAUGGUGGGGGUUGGAAAGUUUCGGCGGUUGGGGAUGGACUCGCGGCUUAUCAGCUUGUUGGUGGGGUAGUGGCUUACCAAGGCUUUGACGGGUAGCCGGCCUGAGAGGGUGACCGGCCACAUUGGGACUGAGAUAGGGCCCAGACUCCUACGUGAGGCAGCAGUGGGGAAUAUUGCACAAUGGGCGGAAGCCUGAUGCAGCAACGCCGCGUGCGGGAGGACGGCCUUCGGGUUGUAAACCGCUUUCGCCUGUGACGAAGCGUGAGUGACGGUAAUGGGUAAAGAAGCACCGGCUAACUACGUG
rnacentral:rRNA from 1 species